rnacentral:rRNA from 1 species
AACGCUGGCGGCGUGCCUAAUACAUGCAAGUCGAACGGUCUUUCUAUGGAAGCUUGCUUCCACUGAGAAGAUAGUGGCGAACGGGUGAGUAACACGUGGGUAACCUGCCCAUAAGAGGGGGAUAACAUCCGGAAACGGGUGCUAAUACCGCAUAGUUUUCUUGAUCGCAUGAUUGAGAAAGGAAAGAUGGCCUUUGUGCUGUCGCUUAUGGAUGGACCCGCGGCGUAUUAGUUAGUUGGUGAGGUAACGGCUCACCAAGACGAUGAUACGUAGCCGACCUGAGAGGGUGAUCGGCCACAUUGGGACUGAGACACGGCCCAAACUCCUACGGGAGGCAGCAGUAGGGAAUCUUCCGCAAUGGACGAAAGUCUGACGGAGCAACGCCGCGUGAGUGAAGAAGGUUUUCGGGAAUCGUAAAACUCUGUUGUCAGAGAAGAACAAGUUGGAGAGUAACUGCUCCAGCCUUGACGGUAUCUGACCAGAAAGCCACGGCUAACUACGUGCCAGCAGCAGC